rnacentral:lncRNA from 1 species
UGGAAAAAUACAUCAUUUGAUUAAUUUGAUGAUAGAUUCAUCAAGUAAAUACAUCAUUGAUAUUCCAACUUGUAUCCAACACAUCAUUGAUAUUGAUAAAGUGCUAUAAGCAAGAUUUUUUAAAAAAACAAAACUACAGUUGUUAAAACAGACUCCGAGCUCUCAAUUCAAUCCAUUUUGUGAGAAUGUGAUGCAUUUCGUCUUGCCUCUCAAUUAUUUCCCU